AAGACCACCUCCUGUAAACCAGACGCUCGCUCACCUUCGACCUCCGCGCUCGAUCCCUAGCAGGCCUUCCGCUCUCUCCUUCGUCUCCGACGCCGACGUGAGCUUUUACCCUAAGCCCCUUCGAUCACUUCAGACCGAAGCCCUAGGGAAAUAUGAGCAGACGAGCCAGCCGAACCGUCUAUGUGGGAAACCUGCCAGGAGAUAUUCGAGAGAGAGAGGUCGAGGAUCUGUUUUACAAGUAUGGACCCAUUGUUGAUAUUGAUCUGAAGAAUCCUCCAAGGCCUCCGGGUUAUGCAUUCAUUGAGUUUGAAGAUGCUCGUGAUGCUGAACAUGCUAUUCGUGGUCGUGAUGGUUACAAUUUUGAUGGUCACAGAUUACGGGUGGAAUUUCCACACGGUGGAAGAGGCUAUUCUUUUUCUGUGGACCGUUACAGCAGUUAUAGUCGUGGCGGAGUCUCGAGGCGGUCCGCAUACUGCGUGCUGGUUACUGGUUUACCUUCUUCUGCCUCAUGGCAAGACCUGAAGGACCACAUGCGUCGUGCUGGUGAUGUCUGUUUCUCCGAAGUGUUUCGUGAUGGUGGAGGCACUACAGGCAUUGUAGACUAUACAAACUAUGAUGACAUGAAAUAUGCAAUCAGGAAACUUGAUGACUCUGAAUUCCGGAAUGCAUUUUCUCGGGCAUAUAUAAGGGUCAGGGAAUAUGAUCGGAGGCGAAGCCUAUCUAGGAGCCGCAGCCGUUCCUACUCCAGAAGCAGAAGCCCUAGCUGGAGUCGCAAUUAUAGCCAAAGCUGGAGCCACAGCCGAAGCAAGACUUCGAGAGGAAGGCCAGCAUAUCGCUCGUUUUCUAGAUCUCAAUCAAGAUCUGUUUCAUCUUGCUCUGAUUCAGGAUCGAGGGGGCGCUCUCUGUCAGGAUACGGGCUUAUGCGGCGAUCUGGGGAUUGCAUAGUAGGGACUUGAUGGGAUACUGCAAGUGCCUAGUCUUUUGGUGAUGUAUGCUGUUCUAUAAAUUGAGAAAAGUCUUGGAAACCUGACUUUUUUAAAUACCACAUGUUAUAUGGCAUUUGGCUAGUACCCAUUGGAGUUGAGUGGGACUGAAUGGAUGGGUUGCAAUUUAGAGCUGGAUUACUCAGAACUAAGUGGAAAUGGGACUUGCCAAACAGUGGUAGAAAGAUUCAUCAUUUCUUCUCCAAGUUCACCUCACUUGUAGGAGUUGCGCUCAGGAGCCUGGAUAUGGAUUUUGGUGGUACGGAUAGAAAAGUAUUUCUUCACUUCUUGUAUGUUAUAGUAGAUUCUUUUAUUUUCUCCAUAGGUUUUUGCUGUCUGGUAGCUGGCAGUUAUAGUCUUCCUUGAUUACGGCUGCUGUCUUCGACAUCCAUCCAGUGUAGUUUCUCCAUUUACAAUGAUUUGAAGAAUGAAGAGAAUGGUCUAUUUUCCUGUGCUGCUAAAGUUAUUUGAGUAUCUCUUCUGUGAAUAUGGUACUGUGACGUGGAAGAGGUGUUGAGGCUUUUGGAUCAAGUUGAAAAAGCAACUUAAUGGAUAUUGUGGAUUUUGAAUUCAGUUGUUUCUGAAACUUUUGCAGAUCACAAUCAAGAUCCAGAUCACCAAUUGCUUCACCCCCGCGGGACAAACGAGUGAGCAAAAGGCCAAGGAGGCAGAGCCCGAGCUGGAGCUUAUCGCGUUCUAUAUCUCCUGCUAUGUCUGAUCGUAGCUGGUCUGUUGAUUCUCGAGACCUUUAAGGAGGAAAAGUAACUGCCUGAGCUGAAUAGGUGCAAAAAUUUACAGAAUACUCGAAAUACUCAUAAGACAUUUGGUUAUUGCUGUUAGAAAUGAUCUUAAAUGUUGUAAAUUAUUUGUGGAGUUGAUUGCAGGACAUGAUGCUGUUUGUGUGCUAAAAAUGCUUCUUUUCUGUUUACCGGUUGAUACUCAAAAUACUCAAGACAUUUGGUUACUGCUGUUAGAAAUGAUCUUAAAUGUUGUGAACUAUUUGUGGAGUUGAUUGCAGGACAUGAUGCUGUUUGUGUGCUAAAAAUGCAUAUUUUCUGUUUAUCUGUUUAUCGGUUGAUACUCAAAAUACUCAAGACAUUUGGUUAUUGCUGUUAGAAAUGAUCUUAAAUGUUGUAAACUAUUUGUAGAGUUGAUUGCAGGACAUGAUGCUGUUUGUGCGCCAAAAAUACAUCUUUUCUGUUUAC